UACAAUGUUUUGACUCUUCGUCUUAUUUAAAAUUUGUUUACGAUUAAUAUUUUUAUUAUUACUAUAUGAUAGAAUAUGAAUAUUAUUUUAUGCGUAACUAAUUUUUUUAAGUUAUUUAUAAAUUUAUCAAAUAAGACGAAUGGUCAAACGUUGAAUACGGAAAAAC
rnacentral:pre_miRNA from 1 species